CUUCACCGAACCCAGCCGCAACGGCCGGUCCUCGGGACGUUCCUGACCGUAGGUGGCGAUCAGCGCCUGCGCUUC
rnacentral:antisense_RNA from 1 species